rnacentral:lncRNA from 1 species
GUCGGAGAAACAGUUUUGGCAUGAUUCGCCAUGACAGCAGGUGGCACUGUUGAUGCCGUUUAAGACCAUAGAUCUAUAUCAUAGAUACGGCCAGGAGGCCAGGACAGAGGACAGACCAAUCACUCGCCCUGGACCGCACGAAACCAAUGGCAGCAUGAGCAGCCAAGAGGUGAGUUUGGGGCCAUGGCUGAUGAAAUUUUUGAUUUUACUGACAUUUCCUCCGUGGAUAUAUGUAGUUUAUGGCACUGCUGGAGCUAACCUAUCAAGCUAACUUAACCUUAUAUAUGUUUUCUCACUAAAUACGUCUUGUUGGCCGCGUCAAUCGCCUCACAUGUUCAUGAAAUGGCUCAAACUGGAUCAGUUAGCCAGCGUCGCCUCGCUCUGUGACAUCCAUAGACUGUAUAGGUCAAUAUGAUAAACAUGGACGGAGCGGUUUCAACGCGAACUUGUCCCAAAGUGGCAGUGACUUGCUGAGAUGGCUUGACUAGGUAGCAAAUACGUAACAAAUACAUUGCUAGGUAGACUGAAAUAAUACAAUAUUGCCAAAUUGUUCGUCAUUAAAUGUCCAUUAUAGUAUGAACUGAUAACAUGACAUGCAGAGUCUUUCCUAUGGAUAUUUGAUACACACUUAAAUAAUCUUUUUAGGCUCCCACUUAGUACAUUGUAUUAACUUUUCUGUAAACUGGUUUCAUGCUCAUUAUUGAUGAACAAUAACAAUUCUUUAUUCGUGUUUGUAUGCAUGUGUUUGCAGAAGUCAGACUAUUCAAAUAUUGAGAAAGCAGCACAGAAUUUGCUGUCCCUAUUAUCAUCAGUCCAAGAGAAGGUUGAGGUUCCAGGCCAGAGCCAUAGCCCACAUCCCAGCCAGGGAUCUUGUCAGCCAAAUGUACCAAGACCAGCCAGUGUGCAACAGGAGAUGUCAAGGUUAGAAAAAGUGCAAUGUGGCAAUAAUAUAUAUAGUUUGUGGGCUGUUCAGUUUUUGUAUGACAUGCCUUUCAAUUUACUUUGCAGAUCUUUUCCUGCUCUUUUCCAACGACGACAGAAAUAUGGGAAAAGGCGAUUUCCAUCACCUUUUAAAAUAGUGUCGAAAGAGUCUACAAAGACCAUAAAUAUACAAUAUUAUCUUCUCCCUAAACCAAUGUCCAGAACCCCCCAGGGGUCUCAAGAACUAAGUCUGCUAAUGGCAGGCUUAGGGAAACGUCAGAUUGCAUUGCCUGAAAACAGCAACCAUGCAGAGGAAUGCAUUGAUAAAAUUAUGUACUAAAGAUGUAAUUUGGAGUGAUCAUUUCUUAUUAAGAAUUGCUCAUGGUUGGUUUUAUAUGGCCCUAAUAAGAUUUCAGAUAUGCUGCAGCAUAGAUUUCCCAAGUUGCAGACUUUGUCUGGUGGAUGGCUUUUUUACAAGGCAACUGGUAAGUGAACAAAAACGUCUGAGUUGCAUGAUUGAUAAGUACAGGCACAUUAGGUGCAUGAUUUAAUAAGUAUAAGUUAAAUAGGUAAAUGAUUAAAAAUAUAUUGUUCAAAAAUGUAUUGUUCUGUAAUGAGGUAAAUAUAAUAGCAAUUGGGAUAUGGCGCUCAAAAUUUGAAAUUUGAAAUCAUCACAUAAAGCAAACUAAACAUUAAAACAUUUCAGACACCAGGGGCCUCAUUUAUAAAACCUGGCGUAGGAUCCAUACUAAAAGUGUACGUAAGUUGAAAAGCUGAAAAGUGCGUAGGCAAAAAAAAAAUCUGAUUUAUAAAACCCUGCCUACGCACACCUGCACGCACUUUCCCUUUAUAAAUCACAGACCAGCUGGAAAGUUGCUCAGCAGGGAUUUGAUUCUUCCCCGCUCUCUCCACACCCAAAAUUCACCAUGUAUGGUCAUGCAAAUUACCUCAUGAAUGUGAUUUGCAUGUAGAUAAGCCUGGUGGAUCCACGGCAUUUCACGCUUAACCAUGGCAUCAGCAAGUCGUAGAAAAAGAAACUUUUCAGAGAUCGAGGUGAAGGUUCUUGUAAAUGAGGUGGCGGCGAGACGGGAGACCUUAUUCGGCGGCCAUUCGAGUGGCAUCACCAAUAAAAACGCCGUUGCCGUGGUGGCAAUUGCGGCUGGCACUGAGCGCAGCGUUGCCGAAAUAGUGUUGUUUUCGUAAUAUUUCGUCAAAUAUUUUCGUCAACACCAGCGUCAAAAAGAAAUAUUUUCAUCAACGAGAACAACACUGGUUGUUUUUGUUGACGGAAAUAUUUCCCUUUUCUUCCACGACGAAGACGUAACGUUGACGAGCUAAACAUAAGUCGGAGAUGACUAAAAUGUGACGAGACGAAAGUGCGUUUACGUUGAUGGGACGAGACGAAAAUGACGAACAGAGUUGCAAAACUCAGUCAGUUAAACGCUAAACAUAUAGGAGCAGCUUCUGUCCGCUCUGACAGCUCUCAUCAGCCUGCUCUGCUCCUCCAACACACAGACACACACGCACGCGCGCGCGCAAACACGUGGAGUUUUGUUUUCGUUGACGAUGACGUAGACGAAAACAAAACUGUGCCGAAAUCAAGAAGAAGUGGUCUGAUCUAAAGGUGGAGGCAAAGAAAAAAGUGGCUUUGCACCAUCAGAGCGUGGCGGCGACAGGUGAGAAUAAAAAAAAACAUGCACGUGUGACACUCGUGCAUGUGUUCAAAAAAAAAAAAAACUGCUCCGUUAUCCACCGCUGCUUAUGUGGUGAAAGUUCGUAAACCAAAAAGAUUUAGUCAUAUUAAUCUUAAAACAAAUGCAUGUAAAUGGAAUUUGUUUUUUUGCACAUUUGUAAAUUCAAAUUGGCAAACUAUCUACACCGCCACAGUGGGGUCUGUGCUUUCUGCGAGCAUCACUGCCUGGUACGGCAGCUGCAGCUCUCAGGACAGAAAGGCUGCAUCGAGUCAUCCGUUGUGCUGAACGCAUCACCCGGACUAUUCUCACCUUGCUCCGAUUGUCUCCAAAAAGUGCGUAAGCAAGGUGUGGAGUUUGCUUAAAGUUGCGCACAUUCCUACACUAGUUUUUCUUUUAUAAAUCCCAACUCUUGCGUAAGAAGUGGCAUACGCAAUUUCUAGCCAGGUUUUGUGCGUAAGCAAGCUUUAUAAAUGAGGCCCCAGGACAUUUAUUCAGUCAUUAACUCUCCAGGCUAGAAAAACUUUCCUUACUUUAACCCUUUUAAUUUAUCUCUUUCCCACUGUCCAAAAUGAUGAAGGUGGAAAUGGCCAGAGAAAGCUUACAUUGGUGCCGCCUGAGUCUGAAGGAUACAACUCAAAAUUGCUUAAGACUGCAUCCAACUCUGGAAGAAACAUGCUUUUCAUCAUUCCAAUACAAGAUGAAUAACAGGGCCUACGCCCGGCUGCUCUGCAGCUGGCUCGGGCCCUAAAUAGACACUACACCACUUCCUGCUGAUGCCCCUGAGUUCAGCAAAAUGCCAAAGUCACAAUGCAAGACCUGCGGAGAAAUAUUGCCAGUACUGGCUCUGCAUGUAGAAGGCUGCAGGAAAUCUUCAGCUGAGGAAGUUAAGUUUCUCUAUCAUCACACAAUACAGAGCUUAAGCCCUUGUUCUUGAAAUCGUUUUCAUUUACAGUGAAAUCUUUUUCAUUUACAGUAAUUGUAUAUCAAUACAGUGACAUCAUUGAUAUUGUUAACCUGGUCCACUUAACAGGAAAGCAAUGAAGUACUUGUUGGAGAUACAUUUUUUUUUAUUAACAAAACUAAAUGCAUUAGUUGUGAAUGAUGUUUUGCUUUUGCAAAUCACACUGAGUUUGUUUGUGAAUCAUUGGCGAUGAAUAAAACACAGUUUUUGUGUUUGUGAGGCUUUGGCACUAAUUAUAUACCAUAAUACUGUGACAUUUUUAUCAUACUAUACUUUAAUUUUUUUAAAUGCUAUUCCAUGACAUUUUAUAAUGUUAGAUUUUGAUUUCUUAACAUACUAUACUACUACAUUUUUUUUAUUUUACUGUACAAUGAUAUUUUCAUCAUAAUAUCAUUUUUUAACAGUGACAUUUUUUUCAUCGUAUACUUUGUUUUUUUAAGUACAAUGACAUUUUAUCAUGCUAAAUUAUGAUUUCUCAACAAAAUAUACUACAGUUUUUUUAUACUGCACAAUGAUAUUUUUAUCAUAACAUCCUAUGACAUUUUUUUAUCAUACUAUACUAUGACAUUUUUAUCAUACUAUACUUAAAAUAUUUUUAUCAUACUACACUAUAAGAAAUAUUAACAUACUAUACUAUGAUAUUUUAGCAUACUUUUAGAUUUUUUUUGUCAUACCGUCCUAUGACAUUUUUAUCAUACUAUACUAAGACAUUUUUAUCACAUGAUUCUGAUAUUUCUAUCAUGCUAUACUGUGAUAUUUUUAAACGUACAAUAAUAUGAAAUUUUAUAUACUACACCAUGACAUUUUUUAUCAUACUAUGCUAUGACAUUUUUUGACAUACUUUGCUAUGACACUUUUUAUUUUACUAUACAAUGUUUUUAUUUAUAUUACAUUAUAUAAUGACAUUUUUAUCACACUAUAAGAUGACAUUUUUUAACAUACUAUUCUAUGACCUUUUUUCAAAUACUAUGCUAUGUGAUUUUUUUGUCAUUCUACUCUAUGACUUUUUUUUAAACAUACUUUCCUAUGCAAUUUUUAUCAUUCAUUUCUAUGACAUUUAUUCAACAUACUAUAAUGACUUUUUUUAUCAUACUAUAAUAUUACAUUUUAAUAUUAUUAAAUAUUAUUCUAUGACCUUUUUUAACAUACUAUUCUAUGAACUUCUUUAAGACACUACACAAUGACAUUUUUUAUCACACUAUACUUUGACAUUUUUUAACAUACUAUACUAUGACAUUUUUUUUUUACAUUCUAUACCAUGACAAUUUUAACAUACUAUUGUUACAGCCUAGGUAGAGGCCUUAUCCUUGUUUUAACCCUUCCUUCUUGCUGGCUGAGUUCUGUGUUGCAGGUAUUGGGGGAGAAGCUUACAAUCACUGCAGCACACCUGAGCAGGCUGGAAUCAGGAGGCUAUAAAGCAGCCCUUCUCAAGGAGCUCACUCUCUCUCUCUCUCUCCAUGGCCUGCAGACUGCUUCAAUGUUUUGUAGCUUUGCCUUGCUGACUCACACACAUACAAUCACAGACAUCCAACACCACAGGCACACUGACAACCAUAGUUAAAUAUUCUUAUAAAAAUUCUUUCCUUAAAUUUUAUCUUAACUUUGCAACCAUGUGCAGUCUCCCUCUUUGUCACACACACUUGAGCCUGGUUGUGACACUAUACUAUGACAUUUUUUUUAACAUUCUAUACUGUGACAUUUUUUAACAUACUAAAUUGUGGCAUUUUUUUUUAACAUACUAUCCUAUGACAUUUUUUAUCAUACUUAACUAUGAGAUUUAUUAACAUACUAUAUGGACAUUUUUUAUCAUUCUAUACUAUGACAUUUUUUUUAAUCAUACUAUUGGGGAGAGUGGGUUAAGAUGAAUUAUUUUUCAUAUUUCGGAUCACUACAUCAAGGAAAUCAUGGUUUUGUCUCUUACUAGUAUAUCUGCAUAUUUUUCAAGAUGUUUUGCAUCUCUGCAAACCAACAGAAUUUAUUAAGAAUUAACUGCCUUGAUAAUAUAGCAUAUCAAAAAAUAGUGGUCUCCUAUGGUCAACUUACCCCGUGUAUGGGGUAAGUUGACCAUAGGAGCGGGAUAAAUUGAACAUUUUUUUCAUACUUUAAUAUAAUAUUUUAUCAUAAAAUAAAAAAAUUAAACUACAUAAUGACAUUUUUGUUAUACUAUUAUAUGGCAUUUUAAUAAUACUAUACCAUGACACAUUUAUACUAUGAUUUUUUUUAUCAUACUAAUUUUCAGUUAAACUAUUCUAUGACAUUUUAUCGUACUAUACUAUUAAUUUUAUUUUUAUAAUACUAUACAAAUAUUUUCACAUACUACACAAUGGUUUUUUUAUAAUAAUUAAGUAGGAUUAUUUUUCAUACUUGAAUAUCUAUCUAUCUAUAUCGCCCUAUACUUUUAUAUUUUAUAAUACUUAUCCAUGAUUUUUUAACAUACUAUACUAUGAUAUUUUUUAUCAUACUUUACUAUUUUCAUUUUAUUAUACUAUAUCAAGAUAUUUUAAUCAUAGUUUACUUUGAUAUAUUCAUGAUGCUUUACAAUCAUUAUUAUUUCUUAUCAUUCUAUACCAUGAUACUUUUAUCAGACUAUACUAUGACAUUUUAAAUACUCCCUGCAGGGAGUUUGACCAGUUUGUCUCUGACCUCAGACACGAGAAAGCGUAGAAUCACCUACUCCAGGGUUUCAUGAUGUGUGAAGUGAGGGCCACUGGUCAGUAGUUUUUGGUACUGGCACAAUGCAGGAUGUUUUCCACAGAGUAGGUACCCGCCCCAGCUGUAGACUCAGGUUGAAGAUCUUGUGGAGAGGUUGACACAGUUCUGCAGCACAGUCUCUAAGCAGCCUUGAACACAUACCAUCUGGACCAGCUGCCUUCCCAGGACAAAGUCUACCAAGCUCCAUCCUUACCCCUGUUUCAGUGACAGACAAGGACUGGUGUUCUAGGAGGGAGGCAGUUGAAAUAGUUGAAACAUUUGAACAAGAUAGAGGAGGAAGGGGAGAAGUUGUAGUGGAGAUUUGUUGCAGAAAGGAAGGUGGAGUAGCAGUGGAAGUGGGUGUGAUAGCAGUGUCAAAUCUGUUGAAGAACAGGUUGAGUUCAUCAGCUCUUACCACAUCACCCACCACUGGCUGUCUUUUCUUUUUAUUGCUGUGUCCAGAGAUGGUACUGAUUCCUCUCCACACUUCAUGGAUGUCGCUGUGUCGUAGAUUCUUGUCUAUCUUCUUUUUGUACUCCAGCUUUGCUAUCUUCAGUCUCCUCUUUAACUCUUGUUGCACUUGUUUGAGUCGUUCUCUGUCACCAUCUUUAAAAGCUUUCUUUUUCUGGUUAAGGAUUGCUUUUAUGUCACUUGUGAUCCAGGGUUUGUUGUUGGGGAAACAGCGAACAGUGAUACUUAUCUGGGAUUUUUAAUACACCUUUCAUUUUAAUUUAUUGUGAUAUUGCUUUCAAAUCAUACUUUGACAAUUUUAUAUUUUUGUUAUUUUAUUUUUUCUUUUAUAUCUUUUUUUAAAUUAGAAUUUGACAUUUUAUAAUGCUAUAUAUAAUCUUUUUAUACAAUUAUAUAAAAUUCCCAACAUACUAGAUUAUGAUAUUUUUAAUACUUAAUAAUUUUUUAACUUAAUAUCAUAUGAUAUUUUUAUCAUCCUAUAAAAUGGCAUUUAAAUCAUACUUUACUAUGAUUUUUUUUAACAUUCUUAAUUAUGACAUUUUUUUCGUACUACAAUCUAAUAUUACAUUACAAUGACAAAUAGUUUUUUCAAACUAUAUUACGAAAUUUUAAUCCUCAUUUUUAUCAUACUAUACUAUACUUUACUAAUAUUUUCACAUAGUAUACAAUGAUAUUUUUAUCAUAAUUAACUAGGAUAAUUUUUCAUACUUGAAUAUUACAUCUUUAUCACACUAUACUUUGAUAUUUUAUGAUACUUAUAUAUGAUUUUUUAUCAUACUAUAAUAUGACAUUUUUAUCACACUUCACUGUCAUUUUUAUCAUACUAUAUCAAAAUAUUUUUUCGUAGUUUACUUUGAUAUAUUUAUCAUGCUUUACUAUGAUUUUUUUAUUAUACAAUACCAAGACAUUCUUUAUACCAUAAGAUACCAUCAUUCUAUACCAUGAUACUUUUAUCAUACUCUGCUAUGACAUUUUUAUUAUACAUUACUAUGACAUUUUUAUCGUUCUAUACUAUGACAUUUUUAUCAAACUAUACUGUGACUAUUUUUUCCUUCUUUAAUAUGAUAUCUUUAUCACACUGUACUUUGACGUUUUUACGGUACUAUACUAGGAUGUUUUUAUCAGUUAGUUGUUCAAAACAUCUUGCAAUGCAAAAUCUUGGACACAUCAUCAGUGAUAGUACCUGGGGUCACGGGGGUCACGGGGGUUUCGGGUCUUUCAACUUCAGACCCCCUCACCCAGGCGACCUGACCGAGAGUGAUCAGUUCCCGGCCUGUGUCCAAGAAGCGCUCAUCCACGCCUUAUCCCUCUGAAUCCACAGCCAUCGUGAUGCUUUCUCAGCUGGUUCUGAAGCUGAGCAGAUGGCUCUCCUCUUAUGUGCCCCUGUGAUGCCUAGGAGACUGUAGGCCCUGCAGAGUGACCCCCCUGCAAAGCCCCUUCCCCCGACCUCAAUGGGCAGGCGUCUUGCACGCCACCCCCUGUUGCGGCAGUCCUCCACCAGCUCGGCAUACUUCUCCCUCUUCCUCCCGCUGGCUUCCUCCAUCCUCUGCUCCCAGGGCACUGUCAGCUCCAACAUGAUGACCUGCUUGGAAGACUCUGAUUGUAGGACUAUGUCUGGUCUCAGGCUGGUUUCCGUGAUAUUCUCAGGGAACUUAAGCUGUUUUCCUAAGUCCACCCUCAGCUGCCAGUCCUUUGCUGUUCCCAGAAGUCCUGUUUGGGCCUUUGGUUGGGGAGGAGGUUUUUCCCCAGCCCUCACAAAUGCUGUUCUGUGCCUCAGUGGUUGCAGGUGCUUGCUGUGGUCAAUGGCAGAGUGGAUGGACUCAGCAACUGCCUUCAGCACCUGGUCGUGGCGCCAGCGAUAGCAGCCAUCUCCAAGUGCCUUAGGACAGCUGCUGAGGAUGUGCUCUAGUGUUCCCCUUCCCUGGCACAAGGUACAUGAUGGAGCUUCAGCCUUGCCCCAAAGGAAGAGGUUUGACGGGCUAGGCAGGACAUCAUAGACAGACUGGAUGAGGAAUUUUAUGUGGAGCGGUGUAGCCUUCCACAACUCCGACCAUGAGAUCCUUCUGUCCAUGGCUUCCUCCCAUCUGAUCCACGCGCCCUGCUGCCUUAGCCCCACCCACCGGCUUGCACGCUGCUCUUCGACUCCAGCCCACACCUCGAGUUGGACCCGGUCCCGCCUUUCCUUGCCCUUGAGCCUGCUGAGGUGGGUUGUUUGUACAGUCUCCAGUCCUGCUCGACCGGUAGCCACAGAUCCCACAAGCUCUUUGUGGGACAGCCGACCUUCUGCCUGUCCUCACCUCUAUGCCAGCUUGAGCAACCUUUGGGUCCUUCGAUUCCCUGUAAUGGAGAACCUUCCUUGCUCUGGCAACCAUAAACUCCUCGGUGAGGCUGUUGAUUGGUAGGGUCAGCUUGUUGUCAUAGCUGUAGAGGGCGAUGCUGCUGAGACUCAGAGGAAGCCCCAACCAGCGCCGGAGUUGGCUGCUGACCCUCCGCUCAAACCCUUCCACGGUGGACAUGGGAAAUUCAUAUACCAGCAAUGGCCACAGUAUCCUGGGCAGGAUGCCAUGUUGCUACACCCAUGCCUUGAACUUCCCCAGGAGACCAGAUUUGUCCACUGCAGUUAGCCAGCCUUCCAGUUGUUCGUUGGUAGCCCGAAUGGAAGCUGUAUCCCUCAGGGAGCAGUCGAAGAUCUCCCCCAGGCUUUUAACAGGCUUCUCUGUGACUGAUGGGAUCUAAGAGCCUCCUAGGAAGAAGCUGAACCGGUCGGUCACCUUCCCUCCCUUCAGGAGACAUUUUUACGGUACUAUACUAGGACAUUUUUAUCACACUAUAUCAUAAUAUUUUUUCAUGGUUCACUUUGAUAUAUUUAUCAUGAUUUUUUUAUUAUACUAUACCAAGACAUUCUUAUCAUUCUAUACCAUGAUACUUUUAUCAUACUCUACUAUGACAUUUUUAUUAAACUAUACUGUGACUUUUUUUCCUUUUUUAAUAUAUCUUUAUCAUACUGUACUUUGACAUUUUUAUGGUACUGUACUAUGACAUUUUUAUCAUGCAGCACUAUGAUAUUUUUACAUAUUAUACAAUGAUAUUUUUAUCACACUUAACUACGAUUUUAUUUUCUUACUAUACUGAUAUUUCAUCAUACCAUACUGUAUUUUAACAUACUAUAUUAUGACAUUUUAUAAUAUAAAAUAUAUAAUAUAUAAUUUUUUAAUACACUAUACUAUGAUCUUUUUGUCAUACUCAACUAGGAUUAAUUUUGUUAUACUUUACUGUUAUACAUUUUUUAAAAUUUACUAUUACACUUUGUAAUACUAUACUAUGAUAUUUUUAUCAUACCUAACUACAAUUUUUUUUUAACAUACUUUACUAUGGCUGUAAUGAUUAAAAAUGCAAAUCUGAUCCUGGUCUUAUGAAAUACCAAUAAUCUGUCUGCCCAGAAUGGCCCAGUUUGGUCGACUUGCCACACACCUGGUCACACCUCUGACGGAGCACCACGCUCCUAUUAGGUUAGGAAAGAUGGAGGAUAGAGUGAAGCUUGGCGCAUCAUUUCCACCUGAAUCUAACCGCUCACAUGUUUAAAAAAGGUAAAUGUUUUUUUUAAAAAGUGCUGCGUAUCUCCAGAAAAUCAAACCAAUCGCAUGGUUUCAGCGUGGAGGACUGGACGUGCUGACCAAAGAGGGAAAAUCUGCAAAAACAACUGGAAAAACAAAGUCCCUGCGGCCUUCUCUGAGAAACCAAAACAUCCUGGGAUCAGAACAUCUGACUUUCACAUCAUCCCUCUCUCACUGUCUUUGCUGUUUUUCUGUUUCCUCUUUGUUUCUAUUUUUGGCUGUAGAACAAAAGGCGAAAGUCCCAUGAUGCACUAAUCUAAAAAACACUCUCUUUUUAAAAUAUUUGCACCGUGUGAUGGCCAAAAAACAUGUCAUGUGGAUAAAUCGAGGAAGAUUUCUCAGCAGAAAAGUCUAUUUUCAGAGCUGCCGGGGUGAGAAAGGAAAUGUAAGCGCUUUUACUUUCUCUGUUUUUCUGGUUAUUUGAAGGCUUGGGCUGUCAGAAUGAAACAAACACUUCUACUUUUCAGCAGCAGGUUCAAACCACCAGCAUCAUGAGUCAGUGCUGAACAGAGGAGCUUUGUUUGAGAAUAAUCAGAAUAAUCAUCAUAAUAAUCAUGCUGGUGUUAUGGACUUAACAUUGCAUGCCUCUAAAUAAAGACAGAAGUACUGAUGGGCUUUGUUUGCUGCAGAAAAAGCCUCCUGGCCAUACUUAUUGUUUACUGUGAUGCACAAACAGGGUCCAUGAAAAUAGUACUUUGUGCAACGUUCAUGUCGACUUGGUCAUGGGAAUUGGUUCAUGCAAAAAAAAAAAAAAAAAAAAAAAAAAGGAAAAAAGCAUCAUGUGAGAGCUGUGAGGGAAAUUACUGUGUGGGAAAUUUAGCUCCUGAUAAUCAGCAGCAUGUCUGAGCCUUUUAUUUCCUCAUCGUGAAACACGUUUGGGUCAAAAUACAGUAUUUUCC